rnacentral:tRNA from 1 species
UAAAUGGAAGCUAAAUAGAAGCGCCUGACUGUUAAUCAGGAAAAUGUCAAAAGACCCAUUUAG